rnacentral:rRNA from 1 species
GAUGAACGCUGGCGGCGUGCCUAACACAUGCAAGUCGAACGAAGCACUUCGAUUUCCUCGGAAUGAAAAAGUGACUGAGUGGCGGACGGGUGAGUAACGCGUGGGUAACCUGCCUCAUACAGGGGGAUAACAGUUAGAAAUGACUGCUAAUACCGCAUAAGCGCACAGCAUCGCAUGAUGCAGUGUGAAAAACUCCGGUGGUAUACGAUGGACCCGCGUCUGAUUAGCUAGUUGGUGAGGUAACGGCCCACCAAGGCGACGAUCAGUAGCCGGCCUGAGAGGGUGAACGGCCACAUUGGGACUGAGACACGGCCCAAACUCCUACGGGAGGCAGCAGUGGGGAAUAUUGCACAAUGGGGGAAACCCUGAUGCAGCGACGCCGCGUGAGUGAAGAAGUAUUUCGGUAUGUAAAACUCUAUCAGCAGGGAAGAUAAUGACGGUACCUGACUAAGAAGCUCCGGCUAAAUACGUGCCAGCAGCCG